rnacentral:rRNA from 1 species
UACGGGGGGGGGCAAGCGUUGUUCGGAAUUACUGGGCGUAAAGGGCUCGUAGGCGGCCAACUAAGUCAGACGUGAAAUCCCUCGGCUUAACCGGGGAACUGCAUCUGAUACUGGAUGGCUUGAGUUUGGGAGAGGGAUGCGGAAUUCCAGGUGUAGCGGUGAAAUGCGUAGAUAUCUGGAGGAACACCGGUGGCGAAGGCGGCAUCCUGGACCAAUACUGACGCUGAGGAGCGAAAGCCAGGGGAGCAAACGGG